rnacentral:rRNA from 1 species
GGAAACUGGGGAUAAUACUGGAUAGGCAAUUAUUCCUGUAAUGGUCUUUUGUUUAAAUGUUUUUUCGCCUAAGGAUGAGUCUGCGGCCGAUUAGGUAGUUGGUUAGGUAAUGGCUUACCAAGCCGUUGAUCGGUACGGGUUGUGAGAGCAAGAGCCCGGAGAUGGAACCUGAGACAAGGUUCCAGGCCCUACGGGGUGCAGCAGGCGCGAAACCUCCGCAAUGUGAGAAAUCGCGACGGGGGGAUCCCAAGUGCCAUUCUUAACGGGAUGGCUUUUCAUUAGUGUAAAGAGCUUUUGGAAUAAGAGCUGGGCAAGACCGGUGCCAGCCGCCGCGGUAACACCGGCAGCUCUAGUGGUAACAAUUUUUAUUGGGCCUAAAGCGUCCGUAGCCGGUUUAAUAAGUCUCUGGUGAAAUCCUGUAGCUUAACUGUGGGAAUUGCUGGAGAUACUAUUAGACUUGAGACCGGGAGAGGUUGGAGGUACUCCCAGGGUAGAGGUGAAAUUCUGUAAUCCUGGGAGGACCGCCUGUUGCGAAGGCGUCUAACUGGAACGGUUCUGACGGUGAGGGACGAAAGUUAGGGGCGCGAACCGGAUUAGAUACCCGGGUAGUCCUAACUGUAAACGAUGCGGACUUGGUGUUGGGGUGGCUUUGAGCUGUCCCAGUGCCGAAGGGAAGCUGUUAAGUCCGCCGCCUGGGAAGUACGGUCGCAAGACUGAAACUUAA